rnacentral:lncRNA from 10 species
CGUGAAUUGACAAAAACAUUUGUGAUUUGUCAUUUCGGAAAGGAGUCACAGAGCAAUUACGUAAUUUACUUAAGGUUAGAUAGAUGAUAACUGGCAGAACCGAGAUUUGAAUCUAAGCAGUCUAAUUCCAGAACCCAUGCAGGUAACUGCUACGUGCUGCUUCAUGUUAAGUUGUUAAAGGAUUCGUGAUGUUGGGAUCACCCUGGUAAAUUCAGUAGUGUAAACGUUGCUGAAAGGCAGACACUUUCCACACUUAGCCGUUGGUUAUUAUUCUGCCAAUUACAGCUUACAGAGUUCUCAUCUACAAUAUUUUGCAAUAAGUUAGGAGCUACAGGCUGUACAUACAAGAAAUUUCAGGCUGAAGUAGAAUUGCUACAAAGGUCGAAGCAAAGUGCUGGGGACUAUCAGAAGAACUGAAAGAUUACUUUUGGGUUUGGAGAUCACGUGUUGUUGUUGUUUUUGGAGACGGAGUCUCACUCUGUCACCCAGGCUGGAGUGCGGUGGCACAAUCUCGGCUCACUGCAACCUCUGCCUCCCAGGUUCAAGCGAUUCUCCUGCCUCAGCCGCCAGAGUAACUGGGAUUACAGGUGCACGCUGCCAUGCCCGGCUAAUUUUUUCUAGUUUAGUAGAGACGAGGUUUCACCGUGUUGCCCAGGCUGGUCUCCAACUCCUGAGCUCCGGCAAUCCGCCCACCUCGGCCUCCCAAAGUGCAAGGAUUACAGGCGUUUUUUAAAGCUUGACUUCGCAGCUAUAUCGUACAUUCUUAUGUGGCUUGCAGGUUUCCAGGCUAGCGCUGCA